UGCCCAGCAAUUCCUAUCCCUACCUCCUCGCGGUACCGGCCGGAAACUAUGAGCAACCUUAGGGAAGAUCGGGUAACCAACCCCGGUGGGAACUUUGGUCGUAGGCUGACAAGGAAGA
rnacentral:ribozyme from 1 species